rnacentral:rRNA from 2 species
UGUGAACUCGAAGAGUAGGGCGGGACACGUGGUAUCCUGUCUGAAUAUGGGGGGACCAUCCUCCAAGGCUAAAUACUCCUGACUGACCGAUAGUGAACCAGUACCGUGAGGGAAAGGCGAAAAGAACCCCGGCGAGGGGAGUGAAAAAGAACCUGAAACCGUGUACGUACAAGCAGUGGGAGCACCUUCGGGUGUGACUGCGUACCUUUUGUAUAAUGGGUCAGCGACUUAUAUUCUGUAGCAAGGUUAACCGUAUAGGGGAGCCGCAGGGAAACCGAGUCUUAACUGGGCGUUAAGUUGCAGGGUAUAGACCCGAAACCCGGUGAUCUAGCCAUGGGCAGGUUGAAGGUUGGGUAACACUAACUGGAGGACCGAACCGACUAAUGUUGAAAAAUUAGCGGAUGACUUGUGGCUGGGGGUGAAAGGCCAAUCAAACCGGGAGAUAGCUGGUUCUCCCCGAAAGCUAUUUAGGUAGCGCCUCGUGAACUCAUCUUCGGGGGUAGAGCACUGUUUCGGCUAGGGGGUCAUCCCGACUUACCAACCCGAUGCAAACUACGAAUACCGAAGAAUGUUAUCACGGGAGACACACGGCGGGUGCUAACGUCCGUCGUGAAGAGGGAAACAACCCAGACCGCCAGCUAAGGUCCCAAAGUCAUGGUUAAGUGGGAAACGAUGUGGGAAGGCACAGACAGCCAGGAUGUUGGCUUAGAAGCAGCCAUCAUUUAAAGAAAGCGUAAUAGCUCACUGGUCGAGUCGGCCUGCGCGGAAGAUGUAACGGGGCUAAACCAUGCACCGAAGCUGCGGCAGCGACACUAUGUGUUGUUGGGUAGGGGAGCGUUCUGUAAGCCUGCGAAGGUGUGCUGUGAGGCAUGCUGGAGGUAUCAGAAGUGCGAAUGCUGACAUAAGUAACGAUAAAGCGGGUGAAAAGCCCGCUCGCCGGAAGACCAAGGGUUCCUGUCCAACGUUAAUCGGGGCAGGGUGAGUCGACCCCUAAGGCGAGGCCGAAAGGCGUAGUCGAUGGGAAACAGGUUAAUAUUCCUGUACUUGGUGUUACUGCGAAGGGGGGACGGAGAAGGCUAUGUUAGCCGGGCGACGGUUGUCCCGGUUUAAGCAUGUAGGCUG